AAGGUUUUGACUGUUCAUCAAGUAUUAUCUAAGUAACUUCUCUAACCACCAUGUCAGUCUAGGAGCAGAAACCUCACCACACAUGGCAUCUCUGAAAAUUCUCAUUGCAUUUCUGUUUAGAAAUACUUCUCUGUAUGUGUUUGCUAAUCUUACAAACAUAAUUCUAAGAAAGGAAAAUUAAUUUGUGUGCAGUUGUAAAUAUAAAAACAACCUCCUUGAGAAGAAUUUGGAAAGGGUAGAAUAAGGACCUCCACAAAAGCAGGGCAAACCCUGGCAAAAAUGAUCAAAAUCAACUUUUUCAGAAUUGUAGAUAUUAACCAAAGGCUUCCAACAAUCCAGAGAGCAUAUACUCAAUAAAGAUUAUAAGAACAGUAA